UCCCCCUUCUUCUCUCUGGCGCCGCCGCCUCACGCCCGGCUGCUUUGCGCCGCCGGCCUGGGAGCCACCACCACCGGUUUUCGUCGCUGAUUUGCCGGCCAUGAGACCCCUUGGAGCAAGACGACAGCACCGAUGGAAUCCCCUCGUCGAGACGCAUCCAUUCCGCCAAUCCAUGUCGUCGUUCUGUCACCAGGACACCGCCGCCAUGAGAAGCCGAGCCGGCUGCUGCUUCCGUCCGCCGCCGGCUGGAUUUUGACCGCUGCCGCGCCUCCCCAUCGCCGGUGAGCUCAGGUGCAGUUUCCCCUUGCCCUCCUCUUCCUUUCCGCGUCCUCACCGCCGACUGUCGUCGCCGGAGCGCCGGCAAGCUGGCCGGUCAGAGUCCUGGCGAGAGGUUGAAGGAGUCACCUCUUUUGCGGUUUAGCCCCUGGGAACUCCGGUAUUUUUCCUUUGGAAAAUCCUUGUGUCUUAGCAAACCUGCAGAUAACCCCCUAGAUAAUCCCUCACUCUCAGAUCCAGUCCACCUAGGCUUUCUUUUGCAGAUCUAACCUCAAAGUUUCACCUUUUUGCAGUGACUGUUCCAUGAGUCUUGUGUAUCUCCCUUGCUAACCCUCCAAAUCUAUAGUUAAUUACGUUUAGGUCCUUCAAUCGUGUUUAGCUCUAGAGUCCAUGUUUUAACUCCGUUUUAAUCCGUUCAAGUUGCGUUAGAUUCAUAAUAACGUAAGUUGCACGAUAGUGGUGCUAUUGUCCAUCAUUUCAUGUCUUUGAAAAUAAAUUUGAUAUUAAAUUGAUUAAUGCCUGAUAAACAAGUUCUUCUCUAAAUAAAAUCUAUAUAGUGUUAAACACCAUUUUUCAUAAUUAAGUGUUAACUUGAUUAAUGCAUACUUCACAUUAUUUUCUAAAUAAAAUCCAAUUAGAUUAUAUAUCGGGUUUUCAUAAACUAAUAUGAUUAAUGCUUAUCAAAACAACCUUUCCAAUUAAAAGCUAAUUAGAGUUAUACGUCGGUUUUUGUAAAAUAAAUUGAAUUUUCUUAAUAUUUAUUUAAUUUUCUUUCUAAAUAAAAUCUAUAUAGUUUAUAUCUCGAGUUUUCAUGAUUAAAUGUUAAUUCGACUAAUAUGCAUAUAAAUGUGUCGUUAAUCUAAUCUACUAGUUGAACUCGAAAUAUAAAGUUAUGCACUUAGAUGUUUACAUGUAUCUCACUUUUAAAUUAAAUGUUUAAAUUGCAUAAAUUAUACUUAAAUAUUGAUAAAUAAAAUUAGACUAAGCUUUACACCAUCUUUUCUUAUGAAAAUAUAAAUAUGACUUGAAUAAUUCUAACUAAGGAUAUUUCUCUGAAAUAGCUUUACAUUGUUUUCUCAACUAAAAUAAACGAAGCUUGUAGCUCUUAUUUUCAUUUUAUAAUCCAAAACUCUCGCUAGUUUUAUCUUCUCAACCAUAGUUCUGUUCUCAGCGUUUCUUGCGUUUGCGUAAUCUUAGAUCGAGCCCUAUCCUCUAGUAUGAUCUUUUAAAGCUUUUCUUCUGUUUUUGGUGUAUUGUCCUUAGUUGUACUUGUUUGUUUGCUUGUAUGUUGUGCCGGUGAUUGCUUCGAGUGGAAGGAUCGCUUUUCGGAAGAUUUGAAGAGUACGAGUUUCAAGUGAGCAAGAGCCGAAGAGCAGUAAGAGUAACUUUCCGUUGGAGAAAGGCAAGUGUGUCCUUGUGCUUUUGUCCCAAUAACUUUAUUUAAUCAGCAUUGCAUAUGCUUGCAUUUAAUUUGAUGGGUCCUAUUAAGGUUUGCCUAGUCUGUGUGAUCAUUCCUUGUCAACCUGGGUUUACCUUUCUGUUGGGUAGCUAUGCUUAGCUGCUAUACUUGGGUUAUGGUGGUUUUAAUGAACAAUAUGAUGAACUUGUUUUAUUUAUGCUAUACAUUUCUUUAAUACAAGAUCACUGUGUUUAAUUGGAACAUGGAGAACCACCCAGGAAAACAGUGCAACCACAAGAACUAUUAUGGCUCUGGUCUUGGCUAAUUAAUUAGAAACUCUAGUUUGAAGCGGUCUUAUCGAAAGGGCAAGAGGGGGAGACAAUAGUCGGUGUGUAGCACUUGCUCUCUUGGAAAGUGGGCUUUGCUAAGACACUAUACCCACUAGGGGACUGUUAUACAUUGCGAUGAUCAUGAAACCUUAGCGGACUACUUCUUAUUAGGAAAUCUUUGUAAAGACCUCGUAGCGUCCUUAUGCAGUCACACCUCGGAAGUGUGAUGAGUGCUUGAUCAGCACAGCAUGGUUGGGUCCAAAGUUCUUUGAACUUUUACGCGACUUGUGGGUAAAGAUGUGCAACCUCUGCAGAGUGUAAAACUGAUCGAUUAGCCGUGCUCACGGUUAAGAGCGGCCUGGACCUCACAUGAUAAUUGAACUUGAAGAUGGACUUAAAUUGUGGUUUAUGAUAUGGUUAUGGUUGUGCCAUAUGCUUAUGGCUUAUGUAUCUAUUAAUUGUGGGUUGGUAUAUAUUUAUACCUUUGUAAUCAGGUGCUAAUAAAAUUUGACCAACUAAAAAUACUUAAUGUAGUCAACCAGUCAGCCUUUCCUUGUUUAAGCCUUGCAUUCAUAUUCUCCUCACACUUGCUGAGUACGACAUGUGCUCACCCUUGCUAUAACCAACGUUGCUCAGAAGAAGAAGCUGCUAUGAAGUUGAUGUGAAGAUGGUGCUGAGUUCUAGGCAUACGCUGCCCCCAGUCGAUUUCCUGUGAAGUUUGAAGCCUCCGUUUCUAGUGUUUAAGCUGCGUAUCUCUGAUGGUUUCCUAAGUCUUUAUUGUGUUCUUUUACGUGAUACUAUACUAUUAUUCACUUAUGAUGUCACUAUAUGUUUAAAACUUGAUCCUAGCGUACAUAUAGGUAGCACUUGGUUUUGUCCUUAAAACGGGUGUGACAGAGAACUAGCAGAGAAGGCAUAGAUGUGAGGCAGAGGGGUAGGGGACGGAGAUGGAGUCUUGCGAAGCCACAACACUCGCCAGCCACCGAUCACCGCUGCCGCCGCCCUCGCCAUGGCGCCGUGUGCCUGCGCCUCGACACCUGCGCAGGGCAGUCUGUUGUGCACCUACUCCGCUGUCAGGAACAAUGGCCUCAUUCAGUUUUGUCAGUUAAGCUCGUUCAGUUUGUCAAGCAAGCAGACAGAGCAAAGCAGAGCAAGUCAGCAUCCAUUUAAACGGUUCAGUGACUUCGUCGAUGCCGUCCAUCAACCAUCCGACGUCCAUCAUCGUCUCACUCGCCACACUGUGUUUUUACCUCAUUUUCACACAUGUAACAGUCCUUGCUGGCUGUAAAGCACUCUUUUUACUGUUAUCCCUUGAGCCUGUAUUUAGCUCUUGGACAGGGUUUGUAAGCAUUAUCAAAGGAGAAGAUAAACUCGUAAGAACCCUAGGCUAGGUUAGUCUCUGUAGUUCCUCGCCGUCGCAUCGUCGGCAUCUGUAUCGGGUACUGAAACUGAACCUUUGUUUGCCGAUUUAGUUAUCUACAGAGCUAUUCCUGCC
rnacentral:lncRNA from 1 species